CCUACGGGAGGCAGCAGUGGGGAAUAUUGGACAAUGGGGGGAACCCUGAUCCAGCGACGCCGCGUGAGUGAAGAAGUAUUUCGGUAUGUAAAGCUCUAUCAGCAGGGAAGAAAGAAAUGACGGUACCUGACUAAGAAGCCCCGGCUAACUACGUGCCCGCAGCCGCGGUAAUACGUAGGGGGCAAGCGUUAUCCGGAUUUACUGGGUGUAAAGGGGGCGUAGACGGCGAUGCAAGUCUGAAGUGAAAGGCGGGGGCCCAACCUCCGGACUGCUUUGGAAACUGUAUGGCUGGAGUGCAGGAGAGGUAAGUGGAAUUCCUAGUGUAGCGGUGAAAUGCGUAGAUAUUAGGAGGAACACCAGUGGCGAAGGCGGCUUACUGGACUGUAACUGACGUUGAGGCUCGAAAGCGUGGGGAGCAAACAGGAUUAGAUACCCUGGUAGUC
rnacentral:rRNA from 1 species